GUCAUUAUGUCUCACAAUGAUUUUUGCCAUUCAUGGAACAGGUUGGUGGUGAUAACUUUUAAACAACACUUUCAGAAAGACACUUUUUAUAAAAUACUGUGCUGCUCAGAACUUAAGGUUCUAAGUCCCUGAACAGCAGGGAUUGCUGCGGAAGUGGAUCACAAUGCAAAGAAAAGAUCAGAAACAUGAAUGGCAGCUUGCUCUUGAGCUGGACCUGUGUCUUUUCUCCCCCGUUCUGGAUACACUUCUCCCAGCCCUCAGCACGUCUGUUUUCCUACCUGUCAACAACCAGCACCAUGGAGAGAAAAAGGAGUGAUGGCACACCAGGGCACUUAGAAGACACAAAUGUCUUCAGAGGUUCCCUCUCUGGCACUUGGUACUUUGGCCUGCCUUUCCCAUCUUCAAAUCUUCACUUUCUUCUGUAAGAGCUCUGAGCAUUUCGGUUUUCUUCCUGAGAUUUACAGAACAUGAGACUUAUUUUCUGUGUAAGUAGGCAAUGAAGUUAAUGCUAUUUCUACACCUUUGUUCCAGGCAAGGGGGGAGUGGGGGGGUGAUGACUUCCUUUUCUAAAACACUUUGUUUUUCCUGUUUUACCUGAAGCUUUGAAAGACUUUGACCACAAGAUUUCAAGCCUGUGGACCCUUAGACACAAUAAACGUGCGUGAAUUUGGAGGAGAUGUUGCCUG
rnacentral:lncRNA from 1 species